UACUUUUUAGAUGACCCAAUAUAUUCAUAUAUCCAUACACAAAUGUGUUCGAAGGUUAUGUUUCAUCUAAUCGUAAUCGGAAAAGAUGGGAAAAGAUUGACCAUCUUCUAUUCCGACUAUCUUCGAUAGCCGACUUGCGAUAAUUUUAUUCGACAACCGCCAAUCCAAUGCGCAUGUGUACGACACCCAACUCCGAUAUACGACUGAUUGUAGACCAAGCUUUACGCGUGAAGUUGGCUAUUUGACAAAAGCCGAUCGCGCGGGAAACAACGCCGCUUGCCUAUUUCGAAUGCGUUUACAUCUCAUUUGCGAAAUAUGGUGGAUAGGAGAUGAGACAGCGGAACGGAUCGGCUCUCAAACGAGUGGCAUUGCGAUAAAUAUGAUUGUGAUAGACAUGAGAUGGACAUAAGACGGACCGAUCCUGAGACGAGUGACAUCGUGAUCAAAUGAAUGCGACAAAUACACGAUCGGUUUCGAAUGAAAAGUGUCGAUGACUUAUUGAAUUAAUGUUGUCUACACAUUGCAAGGCAAACAAAGAAAAGAGAAGAAAAGUAGAGAAGCAGGCUUGACAACUCUGUGCAGGAAGAGGAGAAGGUUUAGGAAAAUUAUUAUCGGACGUUGAUGGAGCAACUUUACGAAUCAUCGUAACUACGCUAACUACUACGGUAACUACUGAUAACUCCACUGCUAUGCAUCGGUCGGUGAGUGACAAAAACUUUAUUAAUGAGGUGAUGAAUCUGUGAAAAAUGUAGUAAACAACUAUCGUAUCGACAUUAUUAUAUUAGAAAUGAAUAUAACGUUUCAUGGAUCCGUUAUCUUAAAAUGGAUGAGC